rnacentral:rRNA from 1 species
UACGAAGGGGGCUAGCGUUGUUCGGAAUUACUGGGCGUAAAGCGCACGUAGGCGGAUUGUUAAGUUAGGGGUGAAAUCCCAGGGCUCAACCCCGGAACUGCCUUUAAUACUGGCAAUCUCGAGUCCGAGAGAGGUGAGUGGAAUUCCGAGUGUAGAGGUGAAAUUCGUAGAUAUUCGGAGGAACACCAGUGGCGAAGGCGGCUCACUGGCUCGGUACUGACGCUGAGGUGCGAAAGCGUGGGGAGCAAACAGG